rnacentral:lncRNA from 1 species
AAUAAUCAAAAAAUUGAACAUAUAUAUGUGUCCGGCUUAUACUAUCGAUAGUAUCAAUCUCUUGAUACUAUCGAGUUUUCUAUCGUUAAAUCUACUUUUUGAUCAUUUCCAUCCGUCAGAUUAUAUUAUUCAAUCAACCAUUUACUCAACCCUAGAAAUUUGUUAUCAUCUUAUCCGCAUAUUUUUUUAUCCAACGGUCGAAAAUUCGAUCGUACCAAACAAUUGGUACUAUCCAUGGUGUAGUAGCAUAAUUAUAUAUAUAUAUA